AGGGUAUGAACUGUUACACUUCACACGCGUGUAUACUUCCUGUAACUCGUGACCCUCAUUUCUGAUACCGGGAGUUUGACGAAAUAAGAGUCACUACGUAAGCUAAUCAGCGAAGGUUUGACGUAUCCGGGAUCAAGAACAGAGACCGGGACCUAAGAGUUAUGUCUUUACCAUGUGACUACAGUGAGCGGUCCAUUCGACAUUAUCCCAAGGAACAAUGCAGGUUGAAAUGGGCUUCGAGCCAAAAAGUUCAACAUCAAUUUGCCUUGGAAAUUGUCAAGAAAGUGAUGACGUCAUAUCUCCUGGACCCCACAACUUCACAGCUUACGGAGAAAAUUCAAGAAUGUGUGCAAAAUAUGGGACUUGGAAAGAAUCGUUAAAAUACAUGUGAUCAAUGAAUAUUGUGCAACAUACAAAAGUGUGAAUUUAAUGGAAAACAAGUAAAUAUACUCAUGUAUCACGCGCCCUUUUAAAAUAAAUUAUACUGCCUAAAUAUGGAGGACAAGUCAUUGUUGAUUAUUCUGAUUCUUCGAUAAAUCAAAAUCAGUAAAUAUUUCAAAAUAAAAAUGCCUAUCUUAUAACUUUAAUCAAUGUGUGAAUUUCUCUUGUAAAUUAAAGUUUAAUUGAACAUAUUACAUCAUGGAUGACUAUGAACUUUACAUUUUAUUAUUAAUAAAUGUUUCCAUAGAUACUAACUUUUAUAUCAAUCAAUCAAUGCUUUAUUCACAUAAAUGUACAGUCAUACAAUACAGAAAGAAGAAAAAUGUCUUCAUGGGACUAGUUAAACCCCCGACACAAAC